ACGGAGGGAGCUAGCGUUGUCCGGAAUUAUUGGGCUUAAAGCGCACGCAGGCGGCUUUGUAAGUCAGAGGUGAAAGCCUGGAGCUCAACUCCAGAACUGCCUUUGAGACUGCAUCGCUUGAAUCCAGGAGAAGUGAGUGGAAUUCCGAGUGUAGAGGUGAAAUUCGUAGAUAUUCGGCAGAACACCAAUGGCGAAGGCAGCUCACUGGACUGGUACUGACGCUGAGGUGCGAAAGCGUGGGGAGCAAACAG
rnacentral:rRNA from 1 species